rnacentral:lncRNA from 1 species
ACACAGAAACUGAGGAUGAACAGGAAGAUGUAAUUGGUUAAGAUAAGAUCAUACUGGAUGUGGAUGGGUCCUAGAUCUGACUGCUGAUAUCCUUAUAAGAAGAAGAAAGGACACGCGGAGACUACAGUGAUGUUGCCACAAGCCAAGAAAUGCCAAGAAUUUCGGGAGCCACCAGAAGAUGGAAGAGGCAGGGAAAAAUCCUCCCCUAAAGCCUUCAGAGAGAGCAUAGCUCUGCCAACACCUUGAUUCUGGACAUCUAGCCUCUUAAACUUCCUCAGGUGUCUCAUUUCUUCUGUCUCAGAAGUCAUGGAUGUCAAUGAAGAUAUGGAAUUCACUUAUUCAUUCUUAUAAAUAUUACUUAGUGUCCUUGUGCUUGGCACUGUGCUUGGUCAUUGAGAUCUACUGUUCAAAAGCAAGAUAACAUACAGGCUGGAAUAGCGAGAUGCAAGAAUCCCAAGCCUUCAAAGCCAGCUCCUGCAGAAGAGAGAGGGCCUGGCAGCUGAGCUGGAUGCUUCAGGAGCAGAGGAUCUAUCAACUGCAGACCAAGCACAGGGAGACGCAGGCAAACCUGGAACAGUAACCCAGCCAGCUCCAAUUGCUCCGACAGUACUUGGUGGCCAGAGAGUCGGCAGCAGAAAGCAUGCCCCGGGCCGUGAAGCAGGAAAUCGACUCUGACUCAAUCCUUGAGGUCUGCACCUCAUAAAUCUAAGCCCACGUGAAGUGAACAGAGCAUCCCUUCUUCAAGAGAAUGGAAAAAGAAAGGAUGCUGAGGAGGAACUGUUGGGGGCAGAGCCCUUGAAGCCAGCUGGCAAGACUGAGACCACUGAUCAAUGCUUUGCCCACUGAAAGGACAACCUUAUAAAGAAUUGGAACCAUUAAGCUUUAAUUUUUAGAAAUUUGGAUGCUAGAGGGAAUGGUCUUUAGGGACCGCUGCGGUCCCUAAACCCAUCAUCUGCUCUGGUGCCAGGAUACAAAUCUGUUCGCCCUGAAUCCUUCAUCUGCUUGGAUGUCCAGGAUACAAUCUUUUCAGUUUGGGAACUUCUGACUGUUUUUCUCAGGUGUCUGCCUUGCUUCAAUGCUUAUAUCUUGAACAUUGUGUCUUUACGUGUCUGCCUUCGGCAGGUUUCAUUAAUUUGUAAUUUAUGCCUACAAAAUUGUUUAAGCACUUCUGGAUCUUACACUGGUCAAGGGUGUGUAUUAGUGGGUGUGUGUGCACUAUACAGACUGUGGGGCAGAAUCUACUGGGUUUUGUUUUUCCUGAUUUUAAAAUGUUUAGUCAUUCUGAUCCAUACGUGUGAGUUAAUAAGUGUGUGUCUCUGUAUCUUGGUGCAAGUGUCUGUACUCGGGAAGCAGUGAACACAAGCAGUUUAGAAUAGUAUUCCACAUUUCUCUACCAUUUGCAUUAACUGUGUCUUUCCAAAAUGCAUAUUCAGCUUCAUUUUUUUUUUUUAUUCAGAGGUGGUAGUUUUCAAACUCAAAUCUAGCUCAUUUGUCUCUUUUAGCACAUGAUUGAGGAUUAGGGACUAUUCUAACUGGCAGUCAAGGGUCAGUAUUUUGGACUCCAUUUGGCUUAGAUAAUUUAUAUAGAAUAAAAGUCUAACAGGUAUAAUCACAAUAGCCUUGGCUUAAUAAUUUUCCAAGCAUACUUGAAGUUGAAAAACACUUCAAACUAAAAUUGGAAGAAUGUUCUGGUUAGUAAGUUGUAUGCUUCUGUAAUAAUGGAGAGAAUUGGAAUGCAGUUCUCUUUGUUUGAUUUAUAUGGCAACACCAAGAAUGUGAGACGUGUGUUUUACUGUAGAAAUAAACUUUCAACAUUGACCUAGAGAACAGAAGACUCAGGUUGGUACUUAAAUCCUGCUCUGCUAGGUUAUAAUGAAAAGCAUCUUAAUAAGAAUAGAUUUUUUAGGAAGAAAAAUCUUAAGAUUCAUGUCUUUCUCUCAUUGUUUGCAAUAUUUGUCAACAUUUGCUUGCAUGAUUCCUACGAAGAACAAGCUUAUUUGGAGAAAGUGAUCUAAAUUUUAGAAUUGAAUGUACUCCACUAAUUAAAUGUGUAUGUCCUUGUGAUCUUAGUGCCACUAAAUCUAAAUAGCACAUACGUAAAUUCACUGCUGUCUUAUGCUACAAGUCAUAUUUGAAAGCUUGUUGCCAGCCCUAAGAAAGUGAUUUUAUUAUGGAGUUAUCUAAUGGCUUCAGAUAACACGUUUCAUUGUCUACAGUCUUGUAAGAAUUUAACUCUUAUGUUAUAGAUAUUUCAUAUGCUACAUUUACAUUUUAUAUUUUAUACAUAUAGAGAUCUUUAAAAUUCUAUCUGUCUAAAAGGUUUCCUCUUCAAUGUAUUUUAUAAUACAAUGAUAGAAAAUUUCACUUUAUUUCUAUAUUCAAAACAUAAAGUGUUAUAAUAUUGAUAUUUCACCUUUAUUUCCAUUUUAAUAACAUGUAUUAUGUUUCAAACCUUUCUAAGCAUCUUGACAUACUCAUUUGAUCUUUAGAGCAAUUUACAAGAUAAGUUAGAGCAGAAGUCAUUAUCUUCAUUUUACCAAUAAUAAAACAUGCACAAGGUGACACAGAUAUUAGUGUCAGACUUGAAGCUGUGGCCUGAAGCUAAGGACUCCUGGUCAAGUACUCUUUCCACAGCUACUGCUGCUUCUGUUAAUGUUUGAUAACUUUUUAGCAUACUCUGUAUUUCCAGUACCUAUUAUAACCAUUACAAUGCAUGUAACGCAAAUGUUGGUUGCUCUUAGACGAUCCUUAGCAUUCUAACCACAUAAGAAAAAGUAGCAAAUAAGUAUUUCAGGCAUCUUUCUUGGGCUUUUAUCACAGCACAACCUGCUGCAGAGUCUGAUGUCAUGAUGGACCUUUAUUGUCAGCUUCAGAAAUUCUGGGUGAGCUAUUAAUAUGCUUAAUGAUUUUGCUCCCCAGCAACAUGUUCCUAUGAAAACAUGGUGAGUAUAUAUUACUCACUAUGUUUCACAAAACAAUUGUGUACAUAUUUUGUCUUCAUACCUAUCAACAUUUGCCUUAAAGACACAUUAUGUAUAAUUUGAAACAUCCAUGAGGCUUUUCCUUUUCCUGGAAUAACUAGCACCCCUUCUCCAACCUCUUCCCCAUUCAGGGGUUCUUGACCUUCACUGUGUUAUGGACCCCACUGCCAAUCUGCCAUAGACCUAAAGCCUAUGGACCUUUCUUAGUAUAAUGCUUUUAAAUAUAUAAAAUAAAGAAUAAAGCAUGUAGAAUUACAAAGAAAUUCAAUUUAUAUUGAAAUUCAGCUAUCAAAAUAUUAAAAUCAAUUAAAUAUUAACACCAAUAUUUGGUAUGAUAAUAUGGAUAGUUUCUAUUAAUGCAUUAAUAAAGCCCAGUGGUUGGUGUACUACUAUAAUUUUAAAGCAGUGAUGAGCAUAAGGGAUAUUUUGAAAUAUCUACAGUAUCUGAUAUGUAGCUAUGGUUUCUAUUGGUGACAUUGUCACUAACGUUAAUAUUACGGUAGUUUAUUUUCUACAUUUAUUUUUUUCACUUUUACAUCCAUUAUAUUUAAUUUGAUUCUUACAACAACCUUGUGCGGUAGGCAAGAUGUGAAGUCAAUACUUUAUAGACAAAGAAGCUGAAGCGUAGCAGGAGCUUAACUGAUGAGAUCCAUUUUCUCUUCCAUCAAGCAUCUUCUUGUGUAUUGUCUUAAUCCAAAUCCUUGACAGAAAUGCUGAAGAGGACCUCUGUAGGCUAGGUUGAUCCUGAAUUCUCAAAUAGCACUGACUGGUACGCAGUUUAACCAAGUCAGUUUCACCUAAAAGUGUGAUUAUCCAACCCACAUGUUGCCAUUCUGUUAAAAAGGAUGGUACAAAAGACAGUCACAGUCACCUGGCUUACUGACAUAAAUAUUAAUAUUAAUCCAAUAAGUAAAAAGCACAUGAGAAUUGGCUGCCACAGAAAGAAAAAUUUCGACCUGUAUCUACCAAGAAACUAUCUUACCAACUAAAGAAGCCAAAUCUGUCUCUCUUUCAAAACCCUCAUGGGGCCAUGUUUUAUUAUAAUGGUUUGUCACAGGUCCUAACCCAUACUGUAUUUGAUUAUAUACAUGUCUCAUAAUUAAGUCAUUCCUCUUUAUCACACCCAGCACUUAGUCCACUGCUGCCCAUGUAGGAGGCACUCAAAUUGGUAAAAGAGAAAUCUAUUCAAGCGAAUAUUCUUCCAAUAUUAUCUGGCCCCCCUCCAAAAGCAAACUUGUGACUAGAAGAGGCACCAGUCAUUGCCACAUUCCUACUAACACGACUGAUUUAAAUGCCCUUGUAAUUGACUUGGUCAUAGUUUCCAACAGGUGCAAAGGCUUUUGCUAGUUAAACCAGUUUUCAUUGGAUCAUUUUGUUUUAUAUGUGUGUUUUGACCAAAAACAAAGAUACGUUCUCUAACAACAGGGAGAGGAUACAUGCAAUAGGAAUAUGUCUAUAAAAUGAUGGUCUAUCAAUAAGGAAAAUAAGUGAUUAAUAAAACAAAACAUCCGACUGUAAGUCUACCCAAAGAAAGGAAAAAGGACUCACAAACAAGAAUAUAGUGCUUUACCAUUUACAUAUCUUUCACAUACAUUCUCAUUUGACCCUCACAACAGCCCUGUGAGGUAGGCAUCACGGAUAUUCUUCUCAUUAACCAGAUGGAGACAGUAAAUCUCAGAGCAGUUCACUGAUAUGCCCAAGGCUCUACAGUUAGUGAGUGAUUUGUAUUAACAUCAGUCUUUGGCCUAAAAAUUCAGCACCCAACUUCCCCUCAUACUUGCCCACACCUACUUCACAGGGAUAAUGAAGAUAAAAUGAAUUCAGGGCUACAAAAAUACUUUGAGGGAAACAAGCACUGUAUAAUUAUACCUACAAACUAUGAUUUUCCACAAUAUAUGGCUCAUUCCUCUUCUUAUCCCAGCUUGUGUGUGAACUCAGAGUUGUAUAUUGCCUCUGUUCUGUGCUCAAUAAGCAAAUAAGGCAGGCAGGGGGUACAGUGUGAUCCUGUUUAAAGUUGCAUAAAUUACAAUCAGGGUAACUGCUGUUAUUAGGCAAAUUGAAAAACAGCAUAGAAAAGUCAGUGUGUAAGUAGGACCCACUAAAGCUCAGAGCAAAGCAAUGCAAGAUUAUCAAACAAGGCAUGAUUGCACAGAAGGAAAAUGUGGUAUCAGAGUUCAAACUGGCACACACACACAAUUAUCUAAGGCAAAGUGGUGGCAAAGAAGAGUUAUUUGUUCCAUGUUACACAAACAAGAGCAGAAGAUUCAUGGGAACCUGUACAAAAGCAUCUUGUGUCACACAGAUCUCUCCAGCUGCCUAUAGGGAAUGUACACAACAGUAUAUCACCUUCAAAGAAUGACUGUACCUAUGUUCAUAUCCUGAACUACACCAAGGAAUAGCUCCAUGCUAAACUGCCUUGGCUAAAACACAACCAGUGCCAUCAUUCCUAAUCAGACUAAUGAACAGAAUGGCUUUUAAGGUAAGGAGUUAGAUGGCUAUGUUUAGGGUGUUUUCAGGAUUUACUUUGGAUUCUCCUGCUUUAAAAUCCAAAGAAAGUUAUAUUGAGUUUUUAUUGAUGAUUCUAUGUGUUUAUAACAGAGUGUGGUAGGUGAAUUAAACAUAUUAAAAGAGUUCUAUAGCAUCUGUUUGGAAAAGAUUAUAUAUUAUACAAAGUAUUCAAGUGAUACAAAACCAUUUUUCAGUGUCUUUUCAACUGAGAAGAAUCCUAUUCAGCAUACUUCUCCUCCUGAGGUGGUUCAUACUGAGCAAGCUUUGCUUUCAGUUUUUUAUUUUUUUCUACAAUAGCUUUAUAUUUCUCUUUCGUUUUCGCCAGUUCUAGGCACAGCAGCUCUAUUUCUGGAUUUUCUGGGGUAGCAGUUCCUAAGUGAUGCUUUAAGAAAUCCAAAGCACUGUUAGGUUUCUCUGGUUCUUCAUACCAACACCUUGGUCAGUGUGUCCAGCACCCCUGACUUCUCCAAGUACCUCCGGAACUGCUCACGCUUCAAGUUGGCGGCUUUGUAAUGGGCCAUAGUGACAGCGACAGCAGCGUAGCUGGCCUGUUUUCUACAUUUAUAAUAGAAGGAAAUGCUAAACUGUAGCUCAGUAUUAAUGAAAAUAAAGGUGGAUUUUUUUUCCCAUCUAACAUUCAUAAACACAUUGAACCCUAUCCUUGGCUAUCAGUGGAUGACAGGUUAAGAACCCCUACUCUAGCUAGUUCCUACUUACUUUCAAAACUAUAUCAUUUCUUCUAAAGAACUUCACCAACCUCCCCCUAGAUACAGUUAGCUGCCACUCUUCUGUGCCCCAAGAGCACUCCACAACCUCUCCAGCCUAACACUUACCACUGGCUCUGCUUCAAUGUACUCGUUUUUCCCUCCUAUAGGAGCACACAUUCCUGAGGCAUGGGCCGUGGCUUGUGAGACUUUAUAUUACCACCAUGUAGCCCAGUAUCUGGCAUAUAGCAGGGCUCACUAGAUAUUCAAAGGGAGGAGGAAGGAAAAUUCAAAGAUAAGGGAGCCAUAGAUCAUAGACUAUGAUCUUUAAAACAGAAAAUUAAAGUUAGUAGCUUGAAGGUUUCCUUGAGUCAAAUUUCCUAUCAAUGGGAUCUUCAUAUUUCAAGGAGUAGAGAUGACCAUGUGCACCUGUUCUACUUCUCUUUCAGCGCAGCUCUCAAUUUACAGCCUCCUAAGAAAUCACAAUCCGGCACUACCGAUCUAAUAAUAAUAAUAUCCCAAUUUCAGACCUCUUUAUUUUAGGUUCUCAUUAGUACAGAUGAGGAAAAGGGGCAGCAGAGACAUGAAGAUAAAGGGCUUUCUUCACACCCUGAGCUUUUUUAGGGCUUUAUCUUUCAAAUUUUUUUAUACUUUUUAAGUUCUUGGAUUCAUGUGCAGAACGUGCAGGUUUGUUACAUAGGUAUACAUGUACCAUGGUGGCUUGCUGCACCCAUCAACCCAUCAUCUAGGUUAUCAUUCAAAUGUUAAAAGCCAGGAAAAAUGAUUUAAUUUUAAGGCACGUACAAAAUGUAUAUGUUCUCCCUAGAACUCUAUGUAUUUGAAAAUGAUUGUUAAUAUUUCCUUAAAAAAUAGAACACUAGUAAUAAAAGCCUCCUAAGUCCUCAGCACAGAUGCUUUAUGUAGAAUAAGCAUAGAUGCUUGUGCACAGCAAGGUACACUUUCAGACGUAACUCAACUUCUUCCUAUUAAUGUCACAUAAACAUUGGGACUUAUUCAUGCAUAUUCACUUAAUUUUGUAUGCAUCCCUUCUUUCCCAAUAAUAAAUACUUGCCAUUCCUACUCAAAUGAAUGGACAUUCACAUAUCAAUGUGAGGCUGCAUAUUUCUUGGGUACAAGUUGAUUUUUGAUCUACAAUGAACUUGUUUAUUAUAGGAGGAAGAAAGUAGAGAUCCACAUGGAGAUAAAAUUGGAAAAAAUUUAUAGCCAUUUUUAUUGUCUAAUAGCAGUCUUCUAUUCAAUGUUCUAAUGUAUGAGUACAGGUUGAACCAAGUCUGUGAUUAGCAUUUCAGUGGCAUUCAAUAAACCCCUACAGACUAUCCUAUUGAAAUAUACUAGUCACCCUCACAUAUUUAAGUUACUAAAUUGAAUCUGAUUUAAUAUAAAGUUCUAAGAUCUUGACUUGAAUAAAGUUUAUUUCACCUCAUCAUUUAAUAAGACACUGACCCAUUCUCACUGCAUGUAUUCUGUAAGUGAUAUCUUAUCAGGGUCCUUGGUAAGUAACCAAGGAGCAGAUGCUAAAAUAGCCUUGUGGGCCUUGGUUCAGCAUUCACCACCCUUUACCUACUGAGCAGCAAGUUGAAAAGCAGUAUUCUGAGUCCUCCUUCCCACUAACUUUCCUAAGUGGAGUGUUGGUUGUACACAGAGGAAAAGCUGGACAAUGUUUAUGAUGACAGAUGAGAAGUUACUUGCAUUGGAACUGUGGGUCAAGGAAUUGAUCUCAAAGAAGUAGUCUAUAUUUGAGCCUCUACAUCUUUUGAAAGGAAGCCCCACAGCACCAUAACUGAUAUUCCUGUACUUAGGCUUCUAAAGGUACACAACUUAUUGCAUGCUCUUUUACCUGCUACAUACCUGCAUCUCUGACUUUAUCAUUCUUUUCUUAUGUUAUGUUAUUCCUUUCAUUCCUGCUGUCUCUCCUCUUUUGAAAACAUCUUAUAUUUUGAAUUAGCUAUUACCCUAAAUUUACUGAUUUGGUAUAUAACAUUUGAGCUCUUCAGAAAAAGAAUCUACCCAAAACUAAAAGUUUAGAAGUGUGUUUAUAAGGCAAGCAAAUUGAUCUAAUACAUAUAGAGAAACAUUUGCUAAGAUUUUUUUGCAAAUAAAUGUAGUCAUUCAUAGUAGAUAUGAUAUUAGUAUUACAGCAAUAAUUUUAUACUUAUUAUCACCCUUAAUUUACAUAAUACAGUACACAUCUUUCCCAGGCAGAAAGGGAAAUAGGACACUGGAAAACAAUUCAAACAAGCAGAACAGGAAAGACAGUUUAAAUACUGUAUUAUAGUUCUUAACAAAACUUAUUUUAAAAGAAAAUAAGGCCUGGGAAAGUGUUUUGAGAAUUAUCACUUGAAGUAAAGAGAUUGUAUUAAAGCCAUUUGUUUGCAAAUUUAACAGUCAGUAGACAUUUUCAAUAAUCCACAUUUUAGAGAUUACUUGAAAACCUUAAAUACUUUCUAAACAGAAAGAAAGGUGUUACCAGUAAUUAUCAUCUAUUAAAAUAUAACCCCUGUGUCUAAUAGUAUAAUGAAUCAGAUGUGAAGAGGGAAAAACUGAAAGGAUGGAAAGGAUAAUGGAGCCAAGAGCAGGAGGCAGCUUUGGGGAUGGAUAAAGGACAAAUCAUUCCAGACAAAUAUGAUCACUGUUUUAAAUCGCAUUAUGAGAUUAAUGGAUGAAGGGAAUGCACUAGAGGUAAUAUAUAUGGAUUUUACUGAAGCAUUUGAUACACUACUCCAUGAAUUUCCACUUGCAAAAUUAAUUCAAAUUGGGUAGAAUAUGUGCAUGGUCACAUAGAUUGAAAAUUGGCUUAAGGACCAUAAACAAAGAGCAGUGACAAAUAUCGGUCCCUCACAUUUAGGUGGGAGACAGUGUCCACUGCAUUCGUGAGGACCCAUGCCCACUUUGGCAUCACACAACCACUUCACUAAUGAUCUGGGGCAAGGAAAAUGAAAGUACAGAAUUCCCAAAUCUUGGCAUGGGAAGUAUCACAAACCAAGGCACAGUUAGAGCACAAAAAGAGUUAAUAAUAGUAGAGAAUAAAAUCAAAUAUAAGCAAUACUUAACCUCUUCUAAUGACUGAAAGAAGAACAAAGAAUUACUAGAAAAAAUUGUUACAUACAAUUUUC